GCAAUGCUGGUUAUCAGUUGCGUGCGCUUUGAAAAGUUAAUGUUACGAACAAAAUGAUCCUCAGAUGUGCUUGGGGAACAUGCAAUUCUGAUGAAAGAUAUCCGGCUAGGUUACAAGGGGCCCGGUUGAUUCAUUUUCCAAAGCCUAAAACACAGUUGUCGAAGUGUUUACGAUGGAUUAUGGCUCAUGGAAGAGCACACAUACAACUAGGGAGAAGAGUUUAAGAGCUCCAGACCGAUCCCCUUCGUCAGUCUUCACGGAGCGUUCCGUGGCUCAAGACUAAAAUCCAGACAUUCAGUGACUUUCCGGAUGGUGCUCAUAGUCCUGGAUUUGUGGGUGCUAAACCAGUAGACUUGCUGUCCAGUCAGGAAAUGCGCACACAACUCCUGGAAGAGACACUCAAACUGAUUUUACCACAAGGCCGAGGCAGACGGUUGGCCCAAGCGGUCCCGGAGGAGCACUCCUGAUGCCUGGAACAAAUCGGAUGUCAUCCAGCGUCUUCGUGAUCAAAUCUCGAAGGCGCCACAAUCUACAGUGGUGAUCAUGUGAUGUGAGGAGUCAGUCAUAAUGAGGGAGAUGUCAAGAGAAUGUCUGAUUGCGAUCACUGCAUUCAGAUAUCUGCAGCUUCAGGAAAAGUAUCUGUGACACGCCGACACAUCACAAAGGCACAUCUGCAGCUGCAGUCUCUUUUUGUGGUUGGAGCCAUCCAACAUCGUGACUUGAUUAUUUGCCUGCAUUUGAACUCAACCACCUGCCCACCUGCCUGUAACUUAGUAAUUCAUUGUCACCAAACAAACAGACUUAUUACGUUUACUUUGUUCUGCUUUCCCUGAGACAAGCGUGUAUCAUCAUAGCAGAAAAAAAUGGGAGUUAAAGGAUACGAUCAUUUUUUUUUUAAAUUUCUUCUUCUUUUCCAAACAAGUAUAAUGAACAUGUCUUUCCUUUGAACUACGAGAGUAAGACAAGGAUCGCUACCUAUCCUAGGAUUCCUAGAGUUACAUGUGAAAAACACUCAAGACACUGAAAGCUAUUGCAAAAAUAAACAACCUCGAACUGGCCACAGAUUUUUUUGCAAAUCCACAUCGUGGAAAAAUCUGUACAAAUUAGAAGAGAGAGAAG